GAACACUCGGCAGAGCCAGAGGCCUGGGCCCAAGUCCUGCCACCAGCUGGCUGUGAAACUGUGGUACAGCACCUUGUGUCCUGCCACCAGCCGGCUGUGAAACUGGUACAGCACCUUGUCCUCAGGUCCUUGGUUUCCUCACUUGUAAAUUCAUGGUUCUCCAUGGCAUCUCUGGUCUUCAACAUUAUUUUGCAUAGAGUCUCAGAAGCUUUAGUGUGAGCGGAUGAUAUGGGCACGAAGCAAGGCACCCAGAAGUGGGGGCAACUACUCUGCUUUCUAAAAUGCAAGGGAACCGGAAAAUCCAGGAGCCGUGCCAAAUGAGAAGAGGAACAAAUGGAGGAACAUCCCAGUCAAGUGACAUUCCUAGUGACAUUCACCAGAACAGAGUCAAGCUUUGGAUCCCAUGUUCUGUGACUUCCUCUUCACCACGCUUCCUCCACACACGUAGCAGCUCAAGGGUUUCUGAUGAGUGGGGAAAUGACUUACUGCAAAGAACCACUCUUCCCCACGAGACUUCGAGAAGACCCGCUGUCACGGACUGAGUUGUGUCCUCUUAAAAUUCAGAUGUUGGAGUCCAAACCCCCAGUAACUCAGAGUGUGAACGUAUUUGAAGAGGUCUUUAAAGAGGUGAUGAAGGGAGAGAGACCCCAUGAGCUCGUCAAGCUCCUUCUGUGACUGAUCAGAGAUCCCACCGUGAGUCCAGCUCCUGGUCCCAUGCUCUGGAUAUAUCGGUCCCUGGCAGCGUGAGUGCCUCUGUGUUCACUGUCCCAUUUGAGAAUUCUAAGUAGAAUUCUGAACAGGCUGGAGCAGAUUGCCCACCCCAAGGGACAGAUGUUGGCUGGUACUGUUGGUAUUCAUGGAAGAUUCCUUCUGACACUCCCUCCUUCUUUGUAAUUGCCAUGAACUGGAGCACUGGGCCAAUAUAAAUCAUCCAAGGGUGAACACGCUGCACAUGGACGGCUCCUCUUUGUUUUUGAAGGGAUUCCAUCUCUAUUUUGCCAUGUGCUCCUUCACCCCACUCCCCACCCCCGUCUUUCAUUUCUUUCUCUGGAAAAGAUACUUCAACUCACAGGACUGCGAUGUUGAAACGGACACCCAAGAGCAUCACAGAUGGGCCAGGCCUGGACCUCUCGGGACAACAUUCCUCACGACUUUUAGAUAGAAGAGAUUAGAGAUUUGGGACUGGUGGCAACUGGUAACGUUUUCAGUGUUUGGUAAACAGCCAGGGUCCGGAGCUCUGGGAACAGCCUGAUUUAGCUCUUUGUUUAAGUUUUGUGUUAGAGGCUCCCAAGAAGCUGAUGCAGGGGAAAGAAAUUAACAACCAUGGCUCAUUCACAGCCAGGCAGCCAAAUGGACAGCUCUAUAAGACUCAAGCCGACAGCGGAGAGAGUGCAACCAAACAGCCUUGGCCCAGCUUUCAGAGGAGAACGUUAUUCACCCCAACUGCUCUGCAUCUGCCUGGAUGUCUGCCAAGAUCUGUGAGCAUUACAGCGUUGGUAUGCUUUGGGUGAGGCCUGUGGCUAUGGCAACAAGUUGGGAGCAACCCGGUCCCUGGGAAUGAGAACAGUGUCUAAAAUCAGGCAGGCGAGGGGCAGGGAGGAGAGGUAAAGGUUGGACUUGCCUGAAGAUGGAGCCGUUUUAUUGUUGUGGGUAAAGCUGCUACCAUUAGGGGCUGUUUACAGAGUGGGUGCAGCUCAAGCUGGGAGCAUGUUAGACUCAGCGACUACGAUCAACCUAUUGACUUGUUCCCAUGAGACAGAGUAAAUUAACUGUUGCAGUACUGGUCAUGUACCACCAACCUCCUGUGAACCAGCCCUCAGUGAAACAUUUAUGUGAAAGGCCAUGGUGUUCCCAUAAGAGGGUGCAUGUUCUCUCCCUUGACUAACUCUUCAGUAUGCCUCAUUCUCACGCGCUGGUGUGCAGGAAGGAGUCCAACAUGCCCCAUUGACAGUCAUGCCCUGUAUGUGGAAAGUCUUCAGGUAGAGCACUGGGCUCAGGUUUGAAGAUGUGAGUUCUAAUCCUAGCAAGGCCAUUACCUCCCAGUGACCUCAUGUCUCGAUUUCCUCAACCACAAAACAAAGGCAUUGGUGAGCUGACCUCUAAGGCCUCUCCAGUUCUCACCUUCUGUGUCUCUACAGACUGGAGACUAGAAGAUUAUGGGCACUUUUAUUGAGUCUUCAUUUUGUUUCCAUUUCUUUGUAGUCAUCAGCUGGAGUUGAGGACAAGUUUUAACAAUAGAUAGGUUUCUUUUUGUCUCUUUUUAAAAAAUUUUAUUUAAAAUAAAUGCCAAGUGUAGUGGCUCAUACCUGUAAUCCCAGCACUUUGGGGAGGCCAAGGUGGGAGGAUUGCUUUUGAGUUUGAGACCAGCCUGGGCAACGUGGUGAGACCCUGUUUGUACAAAAAAUUUUAAAUUAGCCAGGCAUGGUGGCGUGUGCCUAUAGUCCUAGCUACUCUGGAGGUAGAGGCAGGAGGAUCCCUUGAACCUGGGAGGUUGAGGCCACAGUGAGCUGUGAUUGUGCUAUUGAACUCUAGCCUGGGCAACAGAGCAAGACCCUGUCUCUUAAAAAAGACUAUUUUUUAAGAACACUUUUAGGUUCACAGCGAAAUUUGGAGGAAACUUGGCAUAUGUCAUAUGCCCCCUGCUCCCAUGCAUGCACAGCCUCUACCAUUAGCAAUGUCCCCACUCAAAUGGUACCUUUGUUGUAAUCAACAACCCUGUACUGACACAUCAUCAUCACCCAAACUCCAUAGUUCACAUUAGGUUUCACUCUUGGUGUGGUGUACAUUCCAUGGGCUUGAACAACUGUAUAAUGACAUUAUCCACCACUGCAGGAUCAUACAGAGUAGUCUCACUGCCCUAAAACUACUCUGUGCUCCACCUGUUUGUCCCUUCUUUCACUCUAAACUCCUGGCAACAACUGACCUUUUUACUGCCUCGAUAGCUUUGCCUUCUUCGGAAUGUCAUGUAGUUGAAAUCAUACAUCAUGAAGCCUUUUCAGAUUGGCUUCAUAUAGGUUUCCUUCCUUCCUUCCUCCCACCACCUUCCUUUCUUUCUGUAUUCCUAACUCUUGGAUGUAUUUUCCCCAGCAUCAUGACUUGAUGGGACUUUUGCUAAGAUAGGCAAUCAUAGAAAGUCAUAAAUCUCUUGUCAGCCUUAUUGGCUCACCUCCGAGAUGGUUCCAACACUCUUUAAGGCCCACUUUUCCAAUCCACAGAUUCCCCAGCAGAAGUCCAAGCUGCUGAGCCUCACAUCAUCUUUUGCACUAGUAAUCUUUACCACUACUUCACUGUAGCAUUUGAAAAUUUUCAUAUGAAGCCAUAGUUCUGUGUCUUUUUUUUUUUUUUUUUUUUUUUGGAGACGGAGUCUUAACCUGUUGCCCAGGCUGGAGUGCAGUGGCACAGUCUUAGCUCACUGCAAGCUCCGCCUCACGGGUUCAAGUGAUUCUUGCCUCAGCCUCCCAAGUAGCUGGGAUUACAGGCGCGCCACCAUGCCCAGCUAAAUUUGUUGGCAUUUUUAGUAGAGAUGGGGUUUCACCAUGUUGGCCAGGCUGGUCUCAAACUCCUUACCUCAGGUGAUCUGCCUGCCUCAGCCUCCCAAAGUGCUGGGAUUAAAGGUGUGAGCCACCGCACCUGGCCUGAAGCCAUAGUUCUUAACCUCAGUUGUGCAAUAGAAUUAUCUGGGGAAUUUAAAAAUUAGAAAAAACCCAUGCCCUGAAGAUUGUGAUCUAACUGGUCUUGCGUAGCGCCUGGGCAUUGGUAUUUUUUAAAUGUUUCCCAACUGAUACUAAUGUGGCCAUUCUGCAAGCCACAGUUGAAAGGCUUAUUCAAGCAUCCUGUUGCUGAAUGCAUGUCGUCCUUACCACAUGACUCUGGAGGUUUUCUUGUAUUCUGAUGUGGCUGCCCUGUUGAGGCCUGCCCCUUAGAGUGGAGAUUAUCCCCUGCAGUAGGCUGCCUGGAAUAUGAUCCCCAGUGAUCCCUGCUUCCUGGUAUUCAGGCCCUGGUGUGAUCCCUUUCCCUUGAAGCCUGGGCUGGAUUAGUGACUUGCUUCUAACCAACAGCAUAUGGCAAAAAUAAAUGUUUAUUGUUUUA
rnacentral:lncRNA from 1 species